rnacentral:misc_RNA from 1 species
GGCCCAUCUACCACAUUCACACACUAUACAAACUAAAAACAACAACAAAAAAAACUGCUUCUUACGCCCACACUUUCACAUGGAUGACUGCGUGGGCGUCUCUGACGACGAGAAUGGUUCGGUGGUGGUGAAUGAUUUCGUCGUAGGAGUUGUCGUGGGAGAGCGUGUCUCGCCUGGUCUUUGCUCCUUGUUGCUGAUCUUGAGAUCAGCAAAAUCAGUGAUCAUGGCAGGCCUAGUGAUCUGGUCUACGUUGAUUCUCUUCUCCCCUGAGAGCAUCCGAACGACAUUGGUCAUGCUGGGACGACGCGCCAUCGCAUCUUGUGUGCAUAGCAGGCCAAUCUUCAUGAACCUGCAUGCCUCAUCA